GGUCCUGCUAAAAAGUUUACUUGCACUUGUAGCAAAAUUAGAGUCUGAAACGGUCAUUUUGGUCUGAUCAAGCCUAAAUAGACUUAACUUAACCGCUAGAGAAAAAAGUCUAGAAUUGUUCAGACUUUCGGACGCUAUCACGAUAUCCGUGUUAAUACCGGCUUUACACAUCAGCAUAUAGCACCGACAUACACCUAGAUUAGUA
rnacentral:lncRNA from 1 species